AUUGAACGCUGGCGGCAGGCCUAACACAUGCAAGUCGAACGGUAGCACAGAGAGCUUGCUCUCGGGUGACGAGUGGCGGACGGGUGAGUAAUGUCUGGGAAACUGCCCGAUGGAGGGGGAUAACUACUGGAAACGGUAGCUAAUACCGCAUAACGUCGCAAGACCAAAGUGGGGGACCUUCGGGCCUCACACCAUCGGAUGUGCCCAGAUGGGAUUAGCUAGUAGGUGGGGUAAUGGCUCACCUGGGCGACGAUCCCUAGCUGGUCUGAGAGGAUGACCAGCAACACUGGAACGGAGACACGGUCCAGACUCCUACGGGAGGCAGCAGUGGGGAAUAUUGCACAAUGGGCGCAAGCCUGAUGCAGCCAUGCCGCGUGUAUGAAGAAGGCCUUCGGGUUGUAAAGUACUUUCAGCGGGGAGGAAGGCGGUGAAGUUAAUAACUUCACCGAUUGACGUUACCCGCAGAAGAAGCACCGGCUAACUCCGUGCCAGCCGCCGCGGUAA
rnacentral:rRNA from 1 species